AUCGCUGGUGCGAUCACGCAUGUGGGGGAUACAUGUGUAUCUGCAUGCUUCUUUCCACGUUUGCUGCACCGUAUGCCAUUUGUCCCAGCAAUGAUGGACAGGUGAGCGACUGUGCCUUUGAAGAGUGUACAGCAGAACAAUGCGAACUGGAUGGUCUAAAAUGCUGCCCGAAGCCCUGCGGUGGAACAUGGCGUGUCCCAGGGGCGCUGCUUGCUAUGAUCUACCCGGAAACAACCGACAACGGCAUCUACUCUCAC